GGGCUUAUGAUGAUAAUAUACUUUAUCUUAGCGGAUUUCAGUGAGAUUUCGAUCAAUGAUCUGAUUGUUACACACACUGAAGCCU
rfam:Lupinus angustifolius cultivar Tanjil contig_6774, whole genome shotgun sequence.